AAUCCAUGUAUAAGACACUUCCGCAUCAAUUCCUUAAAUCUUUCCCAUGCUUCAUACAAGCUUUCAUCCUCCAUAUGCUUGAAUGAAGGUAAAUCAUUUUGAAGCUU